AACGGCGAGUGAAGCGGCAACAGCUCAAAUUUGAAAUCUGGCCCUCGGGUCCGAGUUGUAAUUUGUAGAGGAUGCUUUUGGUGCGGUGCCUUCCGAGUUCCCUGGAACGGGACGCCAUAGAGGGUGAGAGCCCCGUCUGGUUGGACACCAAUCCUCUGUAAAGCUCCUUCGACGAGUCGAGUAGUUUGGGAAUGCUGCUCUAAAUGGGAGGUAUAUGUCUUCUAAAGCUAAAUAUUGGCCAGAGACCGAUAGCGCACAAGUAGAGUGAUCGAAAGAUGAAAAGCACUUUGAAAAGAGAGUUAAACAGUACGUGAAAUUGUUGAAAGGGAAGCGCUUAUGACCAGACUUGGGCUUGGUAGAUCAACCUGGGUUCUCCCUGGUGCACUCUUCCUCGUCCAGGCCAGCAUCAGUUCGCUGCGGGGGAUAAAGGCUUCGGGAAUGUGGCUCCCUCGGGAGUGUUAUAGCCCGUUGCGUAAUACCCUGCGGUGGACUGAGGUUCGCGUUCUGCAAGGAUGCUGGCGUAAUGGUCAUCAGCGACCCGUCUUGAAACACGGACCAAGGAGUCGUCUUCGUAUGCGAGUGUUCGGGUGUUAAACCCCUACGCGUAAUGAAAGUGAACGCAGGUGAGAGCUUCGGCGCAUCAUCGACCGAUCCUGAUGUUCUCGGAUGGAUUUGAGUAAGAGCAUACGGGGCCGGACCCGAAAGAAGGUGAACUAUGCCUGUAUAGGGUGAAGCCAGAGGAAACUCUGGUGGAGGCUCGCAGCGGUUCUGACGUGCAAAUC
rnacentral:rRNA from 1 species